GGUGGCUCAGUGGUAGAGUUCUUGCCUUGCAUGCAUGAGUCUCUGGGUUCGAUUCCUCAGCACCA
rnacentral:tRNA from 1 species